rnacentral:rRNA from 1 species
AUACGGAGGAUGCAAGCGUUAUUCGGAAUCACUGGGCGUAAAGGACGCGUAGGCGGGUUGGCAAGUCAGAUGUGAAAUCCUACAGCUUAACUGUAGAACUGCAUUUGAAACUGCUAACCUAGAGUAUGGGAGGGGGAGAUGGAAUUAGUGGUGUAGGGGUAAAAUCCGUAGAUAUCACUAGGAAUACCGAAAGCGAAGGCGAUCUCCUGGAACAUAACUGACGCUAAGGCGUGAAAGCGUGGGGAGCAAACAGGAUUAGAAACCCUAGUAGUCC